GGGCCUCAGUUUAUGAAAAACAUGCUGAAUUAAUAAGGAAGAACCAACUAUAACAUGUAACAAGGUAUAGUUCUCAAUGGAUAUGUCCGCUGAACUACUAGCCGGCUUCUUGGUUAUCAUUGUUUGUAGUGGUUAGGUGUGUACAAGUCAGGCAUUAACUUGGGCUAAGUGGUAGAUAGGAUGAUGAGCGUCAGGAGGUAAGUCAGGGGUACGGGUGAGGUCGUCGGGGCACCAUCAGUUUUGGUAACAUAGGUACCAUGGGUUGGAGGGUGCUUAAUUGUCUUUACCUAUUGUGGGCAUGGGGAGCUAUCGGAUAUGUGAAAGUGAUAGGUGAGGGCCGCAUGUGGCUUUGCCUCGUGUUUUGGUUUACAAUGGACUGUGUGUCUGUCCGGACUGGUCCGGUUACCUGGCUAAUUGUGACUGUCCGUCCCAUCGGUCAGUCAUGGCUUAGUGCAUCAUUUUGGGUCCAUGUCCUGCUGUGGUGGCCCUUGCCCUGGUCUUGGGUCCUGGUCUAAGGGUCUGUCCCUGAAUGCUUCCCUCUUUAUGAAGUGCCACAAAGCCAUUUUAUUUAAAAUCAAGCCUAAGUUGGCCAAUUUUGCCUUCACUGUUUGGCGAUUCCUUCAUAAAGAAUAUAGGGCGUUUCGUUGGGGCAUUUACUGUCCUGGAUAAGGCCCACUCCUCCAUGAGGAGGGUAUUCCAGGGGUGGGUCUCUAUCCAUGGGUCAUCGGGCUGGCUGCAGCUAUUUCAACUCCUGUGGCUCGGGACGAGGCUCCUACAACCAACGCCCUAACUACCAGGAGGCGAGGACCCGAUCCCCCUUCUUCUCAUCUUGUGGAUGACCAUGGCGGUCAAGGGGCUUCAGAGGGAAUUCCAGUAGAAGAUGCCCAUACGGUAAGCUUAAUUCUACCUCAUGCUUCUUCUCAUGUGAAGUGGGCAGACUCCAUUUUCU